GACGAACGCUGGCGGCGUGCUUAACACAUGCAAGUCGAACGGAAAGGCCCUGCUUUUGUGGGGUGCUCGAGUGGCGAACGGGUGAGUAACACGUGAGUAACCUGCCCUUGACUUUGGGAUAACUUCAGGAAACUGGGGCUAAUACCGGAUAGGAGCUCCUGCUGCAUGGUGGGGGUUGGAAAGUUUCGGCGGUUGGGGAUGGACUCGCGGCUUAUCAGCUUGUUGGUGGGGUAGUGGCUUACCAAGGCUUUGACGGGUAGCCGGCCUGAGAGGGUGACCGGCCACAUUGGGACUGAGAUACGGCCCAGACUCCUACGGGAGGCAGCAGUGGGGAAUAUUGCACAAUGGGCGGAAGCCGGAUGCAGCAACGCCGCGUGCGGGAUGACGGCCUUCGGGUUGUAAACCGCUUUCGCCUGUGACGAAGCGUGAGUGACGGUAAUGGGUAAAGAAACACCGGCUAGCUACGU
rnacentral:rRNA from 1 species